rnacentral:rRNA from 1 species
AGUUCGAUCAUGGCUCAGAUUGAACGCUGGCGGGAUGCUUUACACAUGCAAGUCGAACGGCAGCACGGACUUCGGUCUGGUGGCGAGUGGCGAACGGGUGAGUAAUGUAUCGGAACGUGCCUAGUAGCGGGGGAUAACUACGCGAAAGCGUUAAUACGCCACAGCUUCGGUAACCUUCAAUGCGCACUGUUAGGUAGCGCCGAUAUCGAUUAUAGUUGUGGUACCGUGGCUCCCUGUACGCCAUCCGUGGCUGGUUUGAGAGGACGCUGCCAACACUGGACUGAGACACGCCUGAUCUUGCUGAGGCAGCAAUUGGCAGUGGGAAACCGAUCCAGCCAUCAUCUCGCGUGUGCAUGAAGUGCCAGGGUCAAAGACUUUGCAGGUGGUCGCACCGGCGCAUGUCCCGUACCUGACUUGUACCUGAAUAAUAUCAUUAACGACAGCCAGCAGCCGCGUGAACGCUGCGUAAGGCAUAUGAACUGAAUCAUCAGCGUGAAGGCGCAGCGGUUUUCUUCGGAGCAGGAUGUAGAACCAGAUGAACUUUGAACUGCAUGAACUACCGAGCGGGCAUGAGGAGGUGAACUUGCAGAAAGAAAGUCGCGUGAUGCUAUGAGAACCGACCAUAAGCAUAAUCCUUCGGGAUACCGACGCUCAUGCACGAAAGCGUGGGAGCAAACAGGAUUAGAUACCCUGUGAAUCACGCCCUCAACAUGUCAACUAGCUGUUGGGGCCACCCGGUAGCGCAGCUAACGCGUGAAGUUGACCGCCUGGGAGUACGGUCGCAAGAUUGAACCUAAAGGAAUUGACGGGACCCGCACGCGGUGGAUGAUGUGGAUUAAUCGAUGCAACGCGAAAACCUUACCUACCCUUGAUACUGGGAAUCCCGAAGAUUUGGGAGUGCUCGCAAGAGAACCGGAACACAGGUGCUGUGUGGCUGUCGUCAGCUCGUGUCGUGAGAUGUUGGGUUAAGUCCCGCAACGAGCGCAAAUUCUCGUCAUUAGUUGCUACGAAAGGGCACGAAUGAGAUCACGGUGACAAACCGGGAGGGAAGGUGGGGACACGUCAAGUCCUCAUGGCCCUUAUGGGUAGGGCUUCACACGUCAUACAAUGGUCGGGACAGAGGGUCGCCAACCCGCGAGGGGGAGCCAAUCCCAGAAACUGAUCGUAGUCCGGAUCGCAGUCUGCAACUCGGACUGCGUGAAGUCGGAAUCGCUAGUAAUCGCGGAUCAGCAUGUCGCGGUGAAUAUGUUCCCCCGGGUCUUGUACACACCGCCCGUCACACCAUGGGAGUGGGUUUUACCAGAAGGUAGUUGGCCUAACCGUAAGGAGGGCGAUUACCACGGUAGGAUUCAUGCAGAUCAAAGAAGUCGUACUGCGUAGCCUGUUGGCUACCCGAUGCCUUGCGGAG